GAUGAACGCUAGCGACAGGCCUAACACAUGCAAGUCGAGGGGUAGAGAGGGGCUUGCUUUUCUUGAGACCGGCGCACGGGUGAGUAACGCGUAUGCAACCUGGCCGUAAGAGGGGGAUAGCCUCUCGAAAGAGAGAUUAACACCGCAUAAUAUUAUUGGAUGGCAUCAUUUAAUAAUUAGAUAUUUAUAGCUUACGGAUGGGCAUGCGUCUGAUUAGUUUGUUGGUAGGGUAACGGCCUACCAAGACUACGAUCAGUAGGGGUUCUGAGAGGAAGGUCCCCCACACUGGUACUGAGACACGGACCAGACUCCUACGGGAGGCAGCAGUGAGGAAUAUUGGUCAAUGGACGAAAGUCUGAACCAGCCAAGUCGCGUGAAGGAAGACGGCCCUAUGGGUUGUAAACUUCUUUUGUAAGGGGAUAAAAAACGCCACGUGUGGUGUCUUGUAGGUACCUUACGAAUAAGGAUCGGCUAACUCCGUGCCAGCAGCCGCUGUAAAAC
rnacentral:rRNA from 1 species